ACGUCGAUAUUUGCACCGCGACUUACGACGCGACCGGAACCGCGAGAAUCGCUUGUUUCCGCGCGCAUUCUACGUAAUUAUACCGCGUCUUCGUCUGUUACCGCGUUGGUCACGAGUCCUCUUUCGGACGAACCAACUUCCUUUCUCUCACCAUUUCUGACCGGCAAACCGGAUGCAACCAUAUAGGAGUCGCCGAUGGUUUCAACUUUGUACACGUCGUAGCACUCGAUGCGGGCAUCGAACAGCUUGUAGAUCGAAUUCAGGAACGUGACAACCUGAAAGCAACGAAUAACCUCAACGUUGACGUUAAGGCGAGUCCCCUCCCCCCCCCCCCGCAUUUCCUCCGCGUUUCCCCGGAGGGGAUAGGACAUACCUCGAGCGGCGUGUUCUCGGCAGCGAUUUCAGUGAAGCCAACGAUGUCGCUGAAGUACACGGUCACCGCCUCGUAGUACUCGGCUGGCACCUUUUUGUCGGACGGUAAAGCAAACGUUUACAGAUCGUGGAACAGGUAUAUGGUAUGUAUACGAGCAUCGAGGAACGUUCUAACAGGGGGUGGGAUACCUGUUGCGUAUGCUUCAGCUGUUGGGCGACGCUGGGAGGCAGCAUCUGAAAGAGCAACGUGUCGCUCUUCUCCUUCUCCUGCUUCAGUUCGCGCGCCUUUUGCGCCAAAUUCGCCGCGUACAUCUGCGGAGAAGAUCGCCGUUUGGACGACGACCCCGUCGACGGAACAAAUAUAGCGACUCUCGUAAAAACAGUGGGGCGACAGAUAAAAGGCUCUUUCGAGCACCGAAGGGCCGCAAUUUACGAGGCUAAUCCUGCUUUAAUCCUACGCAACGGUAGCGGCACCGUGCGCUCUUCGUGUUUGUCUUCGGCCCUCGGCAAACGACGCUGCAGUGUGAAGCGCGACCAAAUCGUUUGCUGAAUUUUUUCGGAAACAAUGGAAAGCCCAUUACGCGGCGCUCGUUAAUUUAUCCUUGUUCGAGAAUCAUCCGCGGUUUCACGCCGGCGAGGAAGCGAGUGGAAUUGGAAUACGACGAGUCGAGGAGGAUGGAACACGGUAAUGUCUCCCUAACUGACGCUCAGAUUGUCCAUUGGAUAAUAUAUAAAUUAAAUAAAUAAAAAA